UACGGGGGGGAGCAAGCGUUUGUUCGGAUUUACUGGGCGUAAAGGGCGCGUAGGCGGUCGUGACAAGUCACUUGUGAAAUCUCCGGGCUUAACCCGGAAAGGUCAGCCGAUACUGCGGGGCUAGAGUGCAGAAGGGGCAACUGGAAUUCUCGGUGUAGCGGUGAAAUGCGUAGAUAUCGAGAGGAACACCUGCGGCGAAGGCGGGUUGCUGGGCUGACACUGACGCUGAAGCGCGAAAGCCAGGGGAGCGAACGGG
rnacentral:rRNA from 1 species